rnacentral:lncRNA from 1 species
GGAUUAGUGCACAAUGGCAUCUUUGACCUUGAUGGCACAAAUUAUACCCUAUGGAGAAUUAGUAUGCUUCAUCACUUUCGGGCCAUGGGCCCAAAUACUUUACGAAUUGUUCUUGUAGGGAUUGCCGACAAAAAGGAUGAUGCAUCUUCAUCUACUAAUGAAAUGUAUCUUGAUUGUGAGGCCUUUCUUGCCAUUCAUCGAACCAUAAGUCCUGAAGUGUUUAAGUCUAUCUCGACUUGCAAGUCAGCUCAUGAAGUUUGGACUAAACUUGAAGAUAUAUAUGGUGGGUCCAAUCUUGAUGAAGACGGUAUUAUGAUGAAGGAGUUGGUGCAUGAACUCUUCACUCUUUUCGAUCUUAAAGAGUCCACCACUACUUCCAUAUCCGAUUGCUUGCACACCUCAGCAUCUUCAAUCUCACAAGGUAAUGACAUGGUGAGUGAAGAAAUAUAUGUUGAUGAAAAUGUCAUAGCCUCUAUGGACACGAGCAUAUCUAGCACCACACAUAGUGUAAAUUAUUGUGCUGAUAGGUCAUGCAUUUCACCUAAAGAUUCCUUGACAAAUGUCUGUGGUGAUAUGCCUGCUUCCUCGUGUCCUCUUGAUCAAAAUAUCUUGUUUCUCCCUAGUUGCUCUAUGACUAAUCAUUUAGGGGAUAUCAAGAAAUAUGAAGUACUUUUGACUAAUGAAGAAUCUGAUUCACCAAAAGAAUCAUCAUCAACUCCUCCAGUUCACAUGUGCCUCAUGGCAAGAGGUAAUAAUGAGGUAUCAUCUUCCGUGUGCAAUAACGAUGAUAUUUGCGAUGAGGAUGAUGAUGAUGACUUGACUGAAAAUAUCUAUGUGAUCAGUAAAAUUCUUCAUAAAGCUAAAAAUAACGCUCUUCAAAGAUUCCAAGAUGUUCUUGCUUACUUUGAAAAUUGUAAUGAUUCACUUAAUCAUGAACAAGCUAAAAGUGAACAACUUGAACAUGAACUUGAGAAGAGUCAUCAAGCAUGUAGAGACUUAAGAUCUUCAAAAGGAGAGAUUGAAGUUGCUCAUGAUAAACUUAAAAAGGAUUUUGAGGUCCUUCUCCUUGAAUGCAAUAAUGUCAAGGGAGAGCUCAUCAAAACCUCUAAGAUCUAUGAGGAGCUUCAAUCUACUCAUGAGAAGUCUCUAUUUGCUACUUACUCCUCUCAUAUUGUUGAUGAUACUUGUACAUCUAACUCUACCUCAUUUGAAGUAUCAACAUUGAAGGAGAAUGUUGAGCUACGUGCUCAGCUUGAUUUACUAACUAGCAAUUAUGGGAAGUUGGAAGAAAACCAUGUAAUGCUCACAAGCUCUCAUGCCGAUCUUCUAACAUCCCAUAAUGUGCAAAAGUUAGCUCAUGAGGCUAUCAUCACCAAGGUAACAUCAAGCAAGCCUCAUGUGGACAAUGGCACUACUUCUAGUCAAAGUACUAUAUUUCCAUGUGCUAGUCCUCGUAAUUCGUCUACUCAUAAUGUUGCUACCUCGUGUGAUGAAUUACUUUCCUUGCCUUGUUGCUCUAACAUUGAAGCUUACACUUCCUCUAGUACUUGCAUUGAUACUAACCGUGCAGAGGAAAUCAAAGAGCUCAAGGCCCAAGUCACUUCUUUGAAGAAAGACUUGGAACAGUGUCAUGAAGGGAUGCCCACACUCAACAACGUCCUGUGUGAGCAAACAUCUCCGAAUGACAAAAAUGAGUUUGGAGUAAACUCAAACAAGAACAAGAGGGGCUUAGAACAAGUCAAGAAUUCGGCCAAAAUCAUUUGCUUCAAGUGCAAAGUUAAAGGGCACCAUGUUAGAUCUUUCCCUCUGAAGACGAAGUCUCAAAGUCACAAGCAACAAGGGAAGCGGCCACAAACUCAAUCACAUAUUCAACUACAAGUUGAAGGAAGGCCUCUUCCCAAUAAGACCCAAGCCAACACUCCCCGAGGUGAGAAAUCAACUGGGAAGAAAGCAAAGGGUAGAUGCUGCUACUUAUGUCGUGAGAAGGGUCACGUCGCUUCGUCUUGCACAAGAGGUAACUUAUCCAACCCCAAUCACUAUUGAUGAUACCUAUUCCCUUGGGAAGGAUAAGGUUGGCAAUGUGUUUGCCAAGUUUGUUGGUACUCAAAAUGGUGUCAAGAAAAAGAACCAUUUGGGUUGCCAAGCCUAUUGUGAUUAACCUCUUAGGACCCAACGUAGUUGGGGACCAACAAGCUCAAACUUGAUCAAUAGGUGACUUUGGAGGACAUUAGAGACUUGGAUACAUAAUGAAGAAUUAAGGGGUCUUCAUCAUUCAUAUUAUCUCAAGCCAAGUCAUUUGGAUUAUCGAGUUUCUAUCUUAUAUCCAAUGUGCCUCCUUGCGGUAACUUAUACUUAAACUGUUUACAUUGUUAGGUGCUUGCCCCUUUGCAUGUUGUGGUUUUGUACCUUGCAUGCGUUUGUAUAUGUUGUGCUUCCAACUUGCUUAUCUUGAGUAAUCGAGUAUGUGUAUGUUGGUUUGCACAUCAUGUACAUGUGAGUCUUGUAUUGAGCCUAUUUGCAUCUUGUCUGUAUUUUUGUUGGCUCUUGUGAGAGAUUAAUGGACUAUCCCAUUGUGGGGGAGUGAUGUGCUUUGCACACCUCACAAUCCUAUAAAUGUGUAUACAUGGGGAAUACCACUUAGUUUUGAUGCUUCAAGAUUAUCUAGUGUCUAUGUGGUAUGUCUUACUCAUGCCAAAUUCAAAUUCUAUAUGGUCCAUUAAGUAUCUCUUGUUGGUUUUAAUUUGCCACUUGUUAAUGUUAUUGGUUUAUCACAUUAUGGGGGAGUAAUAUGCUAUGGGCAUAUUACAAACCUAGAAAAUGUGUACAUUUGAGGUGUUGCCACUUAGUGUUGAUAUUGUAAAUUAUCCUGUUCCUAGGUGGCAUGUUAUCUCUACAAGUGUCAUUUGCUUGCGUUUUAUGGGUAAAAAUGAUCUUGGAUAUAUUUGUGAUCUACCAAUGAGUAUCAUUUCGAAAAUACUUCUUGUCCUUGACAAUUGGUAUUCCCAUCAUGUGAUUGGAAUUGCUAAUCAACUUUACAUUGGAUUUUGUGUUUCGUUUGUCUUCCUUGCCUCUUAUGGAUCUAUUUUAACCUGUCUAGUGCUUUUAUAGAUAUAGAGAAAGUGAUGAUCCCAUCGUGUGCGUUUUGUAUUUAAAUGCAAAUUCUAUAUAAUGCACGUCCCUUGGGGGAGCUAUCCUAUUUUCUUUAGAACACUCUCUUUAUUCACUCAUCAUAAAAUCUUUUGAUCCCCAUCAAGUGUGUGUUGAUGGGAGGCAAGUCUUGCUAUUUAUGAUGCUUUGUGCCAUCAUGAAAAUUUGUCGAGGGCUUGGUUUGUUGGAACCUAGCUCUCUUUUGGAAACUAGAAACCUCGUGUUUGUUUUCCUUCAAUGGGUUUCUUGUUGCCUUCUAUUUGGCAUGUGUCAAUGGAUAUCUCAUUCCUUGAGGUAUCUUUUAAUUGAUAUCCUUCAAGUGAUAGCUCUUUUGUUUUAGGAUCUUAUUAUCACUUGAUACCUUGUCUUUUGGUGACUUAUCAACUUUGUGUUGAGUUGAUUCUUAAGAGUCUUGAGCAUGCGUAUCUAGCUACAAUAUACAACUUCUUUUGCUUGCUUUCCUUCUUUGACCCAAUAUAUAGGGGAAACCCCACCUUGUCAUAAAUUGGCUAAAAGUGUGCAUGAAAUUCAAAUUCAUAUCUAUAUGCACAUAUGUGUGUGGAGGUUGUCCUAUGCAUUGCUGGUUUUCUAACACUUUGGUCCCAAUGAGUUUGGGCACCAUUUUGUUUGUUUUGUUGUUCCAGGAACAACUGGAAAUGGAUUGGAUGCUCGGCUCACCUAUAAGGAAGAUGUUAAGACCAUGUGAUUAUUGGAGCCAAGUUAGGAUGAUCAAAGAACAACUAUCUACUACAUCAAUCCAAUGUUGUCUCGGUAACAAAUAUCCACUUAAUGCAUUCUUUUCUUGCAAAGGACCCAACCUGUCUUUCCUUUUCAGGUUGCAUCAUGGCAUGAAUAUCUUGAUUUGUUCUCGUAGUACUUGUUUUCUUUCUCAAAGCAUCCGAACGAUGAUGUCUUACUAUUAGUUGGGAUGUCUUUGAUGUUCGUAUGUUGGAAGUUCAUAUUGUACAAUAAGAAAAUAUUAGGCCAUGUGCUAUGCUUCCAAGCAAAAGAUCUCAUUGAUAUAUUUAUGACUUCCUUUUUGGAUAUCUAGUUUGUUCCUUCUUGUAACCAUUUCGUGUGUACAUCCUUCUUUGUGGAUAUAAUCAUCAUGAUUGUCUUCUACUUAGAAUCUUUUACACAUGAGAGAAGUUACAUCUCUAAUUGAUAUCCUCUUUUCUUUCACGUCCAUCGUUGCAUUUCCUCUUUCAAGUUUUUUUUAUGGCUUCGUGAAAGGAUUUGUUUUGAGUGCGCAUCUUAUUUCUACAUCUUGAUGCACUCUUUGGCAGUGAAGAUUAUUUUUCCUCAUGCUUGUCUUGAUGAGGGUUUUGCCAUUUCAACUAGUAUCCCUCCUAUUGACAAGGUUCCUACUUCCUAUCUUCACAGUGGGUUGUCACAAGCGUUGGUUCUUAUUUUAUUUAUUAGUAAGCUUGUGAACCCAUUUUCUAGUAUGUGUGUGUGGGAAUGAUAUGUCUUGCACUUUGUAUCUCAUAUUCAUCAAGACUAUGUUGAUGAGUAAUGCUCAUCCUUAUCUUAAGUCUUCUCAAGUGCUUUGCCAUGACUCACACACAUUACUUUGGUUGAGCUUAUUCUUAAGUUGCUUCCUUUACAUGUUGCUCAACCAUUAGUUUUGUGCAAUUUAUAUGCUUAUUGUCUCAUCUAUCUUCUUGCACUCGUUGUGUGUUUCUAUUAAUUCUGGGGGAGCAACGAUCCUAUUUUGUGCACCUGUGUCAAAUACAAAAAUCUCAUAUUAGUGCACAAAUUAUGGGGAGCUUCUCUAGUUUUUGAUAAAGCACUAUGUUGCCUCUAUCAUAAUAUCUUUUAUUCAUGUGGUUCGAAGGACCAUAUGAUUGUUUGUUCCAUAUGGAAUUCUUUGAUUGCUUGCCUCUAUCUUUGUAUGUCUUUGUGGCAUAUGAUCCUUUUAUCUGCAAUCUUUGGGUCCUCAAUGUAGUUUGUUUUCCUCCAACUACUUAUCAUUGUAUUUGUGUAUUUCUCUGCACUCAUUUGCUGAGAAGUACAUACUUUUUGGAGGACCACCUACUAUUUUGGCUUUCUAAACUUGUCGUCCAUUUUGGCAAUCGAUGCCAAUGGGGGAGAAGUUUAGAGAGUUUACUUUGGAUAUGUUUAGAGGGUUUUGCUUUUAUUGCGUAAGCAUUUACAUCUUGCACACAUGCAUUAUUACCUUGUAUGUGUGCGCUUGGUUAUGCUUAUUUCCUUAUAUAAACUCUCUUGAAGAGGUUGUCUUCAAUUACCAAAAUGGGGGAGAUUGUUAGAGCAUAUAUCUCCAUAUGUGGUUUUGGUAAUUGAUGACAAUUCCUAUGGACUAAUGGUUGCCUUAAGUUAUAUUUAUAGGAUUUGUCCAUAGGCACUUCUUGAAGUCCAUCUGUCGGGUUCAAGGAGUUUAUAUGAUGACCAAGAUGUUAUUCAAGGUAUUAUCCAAAGAAUGGUCGUAGAAACACUAGGUUGAUCAAGAUCUCAGACAAAGAGUAAAUCAAGAUGAUCAACACACAAAGCGUAUAAGAUGUACCGAGAGGGAUCAAGUGAUCCCAUGGUAUGGUAAGCAUUGUCCAUUACGUGUUUGUGUACUAACCUAUGGUCUUUGUGAGACUCCUGUGUGGGGGUUAGGUGUGCUUCCAUUGGGCUUGCGUCAAAAGGAAGAUCCCAUACAACCCAUGAAGGAUGACGUCAAGUGGUGAUCGUCAUCAAGAUUGUGGUGUGCAAGUUCAAGUGGAUCAGCACGAAUAUAUCAUUGAAACUAUUGUCAAUGAUCAUGUGCUGAUAAGGACAACCUCAUGUGCUAACAAGGAUAAGAUCGAGAUAAGCAUUCCUGAGCACUACAUGCUUGAUUCUUGUGGAUGUUCACAUGAUGGACAAAUGAAGAUGAAUACAUAAGCUAGGCUUUCCGCAUUGUGUGUGGGAAAGCUACUUGAAGACUUCAUCAUGUCUUGCUUUCAACUUGAGCCAAGAAGGAACAACAACAUCAAGCUCAGGUGAAAGGGCUAACUCAAAGGUACCAGUUCCUUUGCCGUUAGUUGUGCGGAGUGAUGAUCAGCGAAUAAAAGUAUACACUCAAGUAUGGAUCAUCAGUACUCUUUUAUGAUUCUUGAGUCCUUAGGGAUCCCGCACUAUUAAGAGGGGAUCACAGGUUUUGCGAUGAACUUGCUCAAACUACAUCAUCACUUUCUCCUCAGACCACAUCUCCACUGUUUUGUUGUUAUCUGAAAACAGAACCAGUGCCUCGGACAUCCGGCUUUCUCCGGACGUCCGAGGACCGUACGACCAACUAGUUCAGAAAUCUGGAAUCCUAUACUAGAGAAAUCAGAGCCAUAUACCUCGGACUUCCGGCUCCCUCCGGACGUCCGAGGCCCGGAUGUCCGGCCAAGUCCCGGAAAUCCGGAAGCCUGCACCAGUAGAAGUUGAGUUCUAUAUCUCGGAAAUCCGGCUCCCUUCGGACGUCCGAGCGCCGAACGUCCGACACCAGUCGGAAAUCCGGAGCCUACCACCAGUAGAAGUUGAGCUGUAUAACUCAGAUUUCCGGUCCUCUCCGGACGUCCGGUGGCUGAUAAAUUCAACAUAGGUUCAGUCGUAUCUACAGGCCUCAGACGACCGACCCCUGUCGGACGUCCGGUCGCUGUUUAAUUCAAAAUAGUUUCAGUCGUAUCUACAGGCCUCGGACGACCGACCCCUGUCGGACAUCCGACCCCUCGCGGACGCCCGGACUUCCGACAACUGUCGGACGUCCGGACCCUGUGUGACUUAAAGUGUCCCCAACGGCUCUUUUUCUCUCCCCACUAUAAAUACCCCCCUCCCACUUCGUGAGAGGGUAGCCCAACACAGCCUUAUCCUCAUAAGAACACAUUUCCACCUCACACACAUUUUCUCACUCCAAAUCUUAGAUCCCAAGAGCAUUUGUGAGCCCCUUUGAGAGUUGUUCCAAUCAAAAGAUAGAUCGUCUCCCUCUCCUUCUCUCAACCCAAGAUAUUUGUGAUUUGAGCAAAUUUUGAGCAUUCCCCGUGAUCUUGUUACUCUUGGAGGUUGGAGACUCCUAGGCGGUAGGAGUUUUUCGGAGAGGAAUCAAUCCAUGCGAUUACCCCCCGGAAAAGUUUGUGAGGGUUUGGAAGCCACCUCAAAGGCUUACCACUAGUGGUUGAGAAACGCCUUCGUGGUGUUAUCUCAAAGGGAGAAUAGGGUGAGCCUUCGUGGCGUUGGUGUGCCUUCGUGGUAACAUCCACCUCUCUAACGGUGACUAGCUUCCCUCCAAGGAAGUGAACAUCGGGAUACAUCUUCGUCUCAGUGACCUUGGUUAUCCUUAACCCUAACUCCUUACUUGUGGUUUACUUAUGUUACUUGAGCAUACAUACAUUGCAUAUUGUUUGUGCUCAUUAUAUUGUGUUGGCUAUUUCUUGUACAAGAUUGCUAUGCAACAGAUAUAGGAGCUAACUAAAACAGUAGCUAAAUUCUAAUGCAAGCGUGAGGCAGAAAGAAAUGGGCGAUAUAGAAAUGAUCAAGGGGGUUUGCUUGCCUUGUUGCUCUGUGGCAAAGACUCGUCGUCAGGAGGGUAGUCGUACCCGGCAGCAGCGUCAGUCUCGGGGUCUACCGGUAAGAAGAGGGAGGAGAAACAAUAAAUAUAAACACAGAUGCAAUCACUAAGCAUGACAAAGCAAUAUAUAGGUCUAGGCAUGAACUAACGCAGUAUCGUCCGUCAUAGAAGGAUCGGGAAAAUAUCGGAUGAUAUUUCCCGGGUCUCUCGCUACUACCGAACAGGCGAAACGGAUGGAAAAGUUCUACAUUCGCUAUGCUAGGGACGCGUGACAGACGAACGGGUAGCGUAUCCGGGUUCGUCUUGAUUUGCUGAUCAACUUUCAUGUUCAAAUUAUUUUCAUCUGACUUACGGAUUAAUUAAUAUUAAUUUUUAAAGUUUUACAGAAUUUCUAGAAUUUAACUAUUGAUUUAAAUUAGAAUUAUCCAGAAUAGUAAAUGAUGACAUCAUCAUGACAUAACCAUGAUGUCAGCAGGUCAACUCUGGGUGACCAGAGCCAAACCUGACCUGUGGGGUCACUCGGACCCACAUGUCAGCAUGUGUUAGUAUUAAGCAGAGUUAGAUUUAACUAAUUAGGAUUAAUUAAGGGUGGGAUCUACUGUCAUAGACUCACGGGCUAACCAGUGUUUAAAUUUAAACUAAACUAAUUAAACAGAGGGGGGCACCUGUCAUAGGGUGUUUAGUUAACAAUUUAAUUAAAUUAACUUAAUUAAUCAUCGGGUUAAUUAGAGGGGGUGGCCCCACAUGUCCUUGACUGGGCCAGCCCAGUCAGCGUUGAUUGGGUCAACUGGGCCCGUGGGGACCCAGGGUCAGUGACACAGGGGCGGGGCCCAGUCGGCUAUGUCAGCGGACGGCGCCGGAGACGCGCUCCGGUGAGCCCGAGCGCGGCGGCGAGCUCGGCCGAGCUCAGAAAACACGUGUGGUGCACCAAAUCGAGUGCCAUUUGUUCCUAUCGCGAGCUGAGAUCAUCACCGAUCCGUUCCAAGCUUCGGUUCGAGCAAUGGGGGCUUGUGCAUUGCUGGCCACACGUCGUGGAGGAAGCCGGUUCAAGUGGACGGCAAAACAGCAGCUGCAGCGCGCGGAGGUCAUGCCUAGCGCAUGGGAUCGAUGCGGGGAGCACCAAGAGCAUGCCGGUGGCACGCACGGGUGCUCAAACGCAUGCACGUCAUGAGCACAUCAGCAAUGGCGGGCGACGGAGCUCGAUUACGGCGAGGGGCUACAGGGGGCUACGGGAGCUAGCAGAGGAAGAGGAGGUCGUGGGGGAGCUCACUAGCGGUGAUGGGAAGGCCCGAUGCAGUGACGGAGCAGCGGCGGCGAUGAAUCGACGACAGCGAGGUCCUCGAUCCGAGGAGGAAGAUGAUGGCGCACGGGACGAUGCAGCGGUGAUGAGCUUGAAUGAACGGGCGUAGUCGAGGGAGGAAGGGCCGGUGAGGCUUCCUUGCACGGUGGUGUGGCAAGGGGAGCACGAUGGCCGCUCCUACGAGCCGGCCAUUGUGAUGGUUGCGCUCGGCAAGGAAGAGGGUGAGCGAGGGAGAGGGAGAGGGGAGGAACAGACGGGUCCACGGGGUAGCGGGGUGG